AAGGGCUCUGAUUUACAGUUUUAGGACUCAUGGCCGGGCAUGGUGGCUCAUGCCUGUAAUCCAAGCACUUUGGAGGCCAGGUCGGUCGGAUCAUCUGGGGUGGGGAGUUCAAGACCAGCCUGACCAAAAUGGUAAAACCCCGUCUUUAAAAUAAUAAUAAUAAAUAAAUAUAUAUACAUAAAGGACUCACAUGUGAAAAGUUUUCUGUUGGCUGGCGGGCACUGAUGGCGGCAGGUGAUCGCAACGUGAAUCUAGGCACCCUCGGGAGUGGCAGCGAAAGUAGUAGGGGAGGCAGCCAGGAGAGCCCGGGUCGCGCGGGAGCGUCAGCGGAAGGGGGCGGCUGGGCGGUGGCGGUUGGCUUUUCUGCUGGGGGGCGUGGAGAUGUUCCUGAACAUGGCGCUGGUGGCGCUGGUGCUGCUGGGGGCCUACCGGCUGUGGGUGCCCUGGGGACGGCGGGGUCUGGGGGCCAGGGCCGCGGCGGGCGAGGAUAGCCGCGCCGCCUCUCUUCCUCGCAUGAAGAAGCGGGACUUCAGCUUAGCGCAGCUGCGCCAGUACCACGGGUCCCGCAACCAGCGCAUCCUGCUUGCAGUCAAUGAGAAAGUCUUCCACGUGACCAAAGGCAGCAAGUUCUACGGCACGGCGAGUCCAUAUGGAAUAUUUGCUGGUAGGGAUGCCUCCAGAGGACUGGCAACAUUUUGCCUAGAUAAAGACGCACUUAGAGAUGAAUAUGAUGAUAUCUCAGAUUUGAAUGCAGUACAAAUGGAGAGUGUUAGAGAAUGGGAAAUGCAGUUUAAAGAAAAAUAUGAUUAUGUAGGCAGACUCCUAAAACCAGGAGAGGAACCAUCAGAAUAUACAGAUGAAGAACAUACCAAGGAUCACAAUAAACAGGAUUGAACUUUGUAAACAACCAAAGUCAGGGGCCUUCAGAACUGCAAUUCUUACUCCCUUUCACAGAAUGUCCAGCAUCUUUGGGUUUGAUUUACCUGCUGCGAAAAACAUUCAACAAAUUGUGUACAAGAUAAAUGAAUCUCACUAUGAAGAUUUGAAUACUAGACAUUAUUUAUGCUGCCAAUUCAUUUGUUGCAGUUGUUUGUAAUGUUUUAGUGGGGUUUCAUCAUCCUGAAAAGAAAGAGACAGGGAUUUUUUUAAAGAGCAAGAAAGUCACAAGAUUAUUUCUUUCCUUUCCUUCCUUUUUUCCUCCUUUCCUUCCUUCUUUUCUCUUUCUUUCUUGUUAAAAUAUAUUGAAGACAACCAGAUAUGUAUUUGAUACUCAAGUGUACAAUUCUCCUCAAGAAACAUCAAGGGACUCCUAUGUCGCAUACUGUGUUUUUAUUUUACCAUUGGUGAAGGAGGAGACCUGAGCAGGGGAGGUGGCGGGGAUACACAACAAUUCGAGUAGUUUGGGCUACUGAAACAUUAAAAUGUGAAUUCCCAGGCUUUCUUUUUGGCUUUGUCAGGGAAAAGAAAAAUAUCUUUAUUUCUAAGAAAUCUUUGGAAAUUAAGAGAAGGAAUUUCAAGUGGGUUUAAGUCAGAACUAGUUCCCCAAUAGAAAGACAAUUUUAAACCAGUUUUUAUCCCUUCUCUUUCCUUCCCUUCCCCUCAAUCGAAUCAAUAUUAAUUGUGACUUAUUUCACUUAACAUAGACUUGAAUUAUUUUUAGGGAAAGCCCCUAUAAUAAAUUCAGAAGUUACCACAAUCAGCAUUAAGUUGGAAUAUUCUGUUGACCACAAAACCUUGAUAUCAUUCUGUAUAUGUAGAAUGUAAAAGGAAUAUUUAGUGUUAACUGCCAUAUAUGUAAUAUACACAAAUUUAAUGGCCAAAUGCAUUCCCCCGUGCUUUUCUCUUUUCAAAGAAACUGAAAAACAAAUCAGUUCCUAUCCCCUACAGCUGCCUAAUUUUAGGAGUCUGACCCUCCAUAUCUCACUGGUGUGGGUGCAUGGGGCUGUGGAGUGGAUGUCUAUGUGGGUGUGUCUGAAUGUGUGUGAGAGUGCCUUGGAAGGGACUCUUUCUGCAGAUACUGUAAAUACAAGUACCAUUUUAAUGAAGCAUGUACAAUAAACCAAAA